AGCCUAAAGCAGCGCGCGCAUUAGGCAUUCUUUCGAGUCUUGAUCGCAGAGCGUAGAGUCGGAGGACAUUCGAGUUUUGUGGAAGAAAACAUAUGGCUACCAUGGAUACCGACAUCCCGAUGGUGCAAGCCGGUGAUUCCUCCAGUAGUGCUGGCCCUUCUUCCAAGAAGCCUAAGCGUUUCGAAAUCAAGAAGUGGAAUGCUGUUGCUCUUUGGGCUUGGGAUAUCGUCGUUGAUAACUGUGCGAUAUGCCGGAACCAUAUUAUGGAUCUUUGCAUCGAGUGCCAGGCUAACCAGGCUAGCGCCACUAGCGAGGAAUGCACUGUGGCUUGGGGGGUUUGUAACCAUGCCUUUCACUUUCAUUGCAUUAGUAGAUGGCUCAAGACCCGUCAAGUAUGCCCUCUAGAUAACAGUGAGUGGGAAUUUCAGAAGUAUGGUCACUAGAAAUUUCAUUUGGUUGAGCUCCUUGGAUAUUUGGACCAUGUAUCUUAUUUAUGUAUCUUUAGUAAGUCUACUUGCUCGAUUUUUUCUUCUGCUUUCUUUCGGCGUAUCCUCUUCUUUUCUCUUUUGCUCUUUCCUCUGCUCCUGCUAAUUCACCCUUGGAUUUCUUCCGACAAUCGAAGCCCUACAUUCUCUCCCUCACCAUCCCGGUCCCUGGUUCCUUCUUUGGCGUCGGAGUAGGCUGAUGGUGGUGUGUUUAGCCACUGAAGAAGGUAUGGCAGGCAGUUUAUUGGAAGGAUGAUUGCUGGCAAGGGUCGGGCAGCACUAGGAGUUAUGCGGCCGUCGAUGUGGUUGUCUUGGCAGCUUUCUUUCAUAGGAAGCGCCAUCAGAAUAUUCGAUGAUCUCAGAAUGGAUGUAUUUGUAAAAUAUCCCUAUUUGUUAUCGUUUAAUGACAAUGUAAGAUAGAGAUUGAGUAAUGCUUUGUAGUUUGCAGCCUCAGAAUAAGGAAUCAAGAAAUACCUGCAAGGUGGACUUUUGAA